GUCUGUUCCUUUCAACAAAUAUCUUAUGCAGUAAACUAUCUGUAGCACAUGACCUCAGGCAUAGUCCAGCAGUUAAAUUUUCUUCAUUAAAGGGACAGUUCCAGAGAAUAGCCCAAUUUUUCAAAGUCCAUCUCUCCGGUGCUUUAACUUUAACUCCUUAAGGACACAUGACAUGUGUGACAUGUCAUGAUUCCCUUUUAUUCCAGAAGUUUGGUCCUUAAG